rnacentral:lncRNA from 1 species
CCACAGACCUCCCCUGUGGAGGCUGUUGGGGAAGUAACUUCAACAGGAGCCAGGGGUCCAGGACACAUGAUCUAAUGCCUUCCAUCCCAUAUAAAAUCUCCAUUCUCCUAUUGAUCAUUUGUAACUUUUAGGACAACCACAGAGAGUCGUCCUUCCUUAAUACUCAGGAAUAAAUUUGGCGUGAUAGAACCACCACCAGAUGAAAUUAUUUUUCUGCCACCACCAGUUGAUGUAAUUAUAAAAUCUCCAUUCUCUUAUUGAUCAUUUUUAACUUUUAGGACAGCCACAGCUAAGGAACCAUACCAUUAUGAUACUCCUGUGGGCUGCCUACGUUCUACAAGCCCAGCUCUCUGAUACCCCACCACCACCACCACUAACUGAAUUUGGACCUGUUCUUCAAUGCACUUCCCCAACAUGCUUAUAAAAGUGAUGGCAAC